GACAAAGAGCUACCGCAGCCUCUACCGUGUCGGUGGCCUCUGCGGCCUCAGAAUCCGGAAGGUGCAGAGGUGGUGGGGGUUGAGGGCCUCGACCUCUACCUGGGCUGCUCCUGAGUUAACCCCUUGAAUGCCAGCAGCGGUCUGCCACGCCGACCUCCUUCUGACUCCCUGAACAUAGAUCUGCUCUUGCCUCAGGGCCUUCGCACACGCUCUUCUGUUUGCUGGAGCAAAGAAAGCGUUCCCGUCCACCCUAUCCCAAAUGGCCGGUGCCCACUGCUCUCUACUCAACCUUGUUUCUUCCUCAUAGUGCAGCAUCGUGGCCUGCCAUCCAGCAGGUAUUCUAUAAAGUAUAUACUGAAUGUAUAGAUAAAAACCAUGAUGUGGGCAUCAGCACCAUCCUUUUCAGAGCGAAGCAAAAACAGACUGGUUAACAUCCCAGGCCAGUAGGAAAUCGAACCAUGGUCAACCAGGCUCUAGAAUGUUCCACAGAAUGUCACUCCACUUCCCAAGAAAGGGAAACUAACCACAGGUGCUCGCGGAGGCAUAAGAGACUGUACAGCUGCUGCCUCCCAGACUGCAACGGGGUCUGGGAGUGGGAGGCGCACAUGGAAGUGCUUUGCCCAGGCCAGCUCCAGAAAACAGGGGACAUCUGGGAAAAGUUCACUUCGGCCUGGGCUGGAACCACUGGCUAUCCCCAGGGCCCUUCUUCCAAAGCUCAUUAUGGGCUGGAAAGGAAAAUGACAACCAGCUAAAACCUGGCCCUCGCCUAACAACGUCCAGUGGCACAUGAGUGGCCCCGGGAACCCCUGCUGCCAGCAGCCCUGUGGCCACGCGUGGGUAGAGAGUGUCAAUCCUCACCUGCCCCUUGUCAUCCGACCUCCAGUGUCUGAGAACGAAGUCAGACGGGGCGGUGGAGGAAGCCUGCGGCACGGAGUGGGUGAGCAACGAGAAGAGGGUCUGAAAGAGUGUGAACCGCAAGGAUGAGUGGGAGCCAGGUCUCUGUCUCCGGGCUGGAGAUGCCACACAAGGGGGAGGACUCCAGGAGAACCCCUUGAAUACAAACUGGACGAGGGAGAAGUGACAGCUGGGAGAUGCCACUUAUUCUCCCUGAGCUCUGUCAAAUGCAAGGUCACCCACUUCCUUCUGGAAGUCGCUCCUCCUCUCCGGUGGCUGCUCGGUAUAGACUUGUGCCUGGGUGGCUGUGCAUCCUUCACACACCCUGCCUCUACAUCUAGCCACCUCUCACCCAUGAUCCGAUGGGUCUCCCACAGUGUCCACCUCUCCUUCCAACUCCUGGGUAUGCACAGAGCUCUGCUCUAUCUGUGGCACAUGCCCACAUGGCACCCUCUCCCACCUGCUCUCUCCACGAGCCUGCCCUGCAUAUUCCGAGAGCGUCUAUCCAUGUCUGGCGUAGCUACAUGCUUCGGACCUCUCUUUUCUAGUUUGCUUUUCAAAUCCAGACGUUCAUGCAUCCGCUGGUCCUGCUUCAUUGUGUCCGGGACAGCGAAGCAAGACUAAUUCUGUCUUCAGACCUCUUGGGGGAAUCCUCCUGCAGAGAGCUUGGUGGGGAAGCCUCCUGCUUGGUCCGCUGGCCUCUCUUCAGCUGCAGUGAAUGGUCCUUUGCUUGCCUGACCAGAGACAUCUGAUAGCCCAGAGGCCUGAACCGGCCCCUCAGGAACAGCCUAGGACAGCUCUGUCUUUGAGCUGGAGUCAAACAAGGACGAGCAUUCAGAGGCUUGGGUCGCUCAUUUGCUGUUGGCCCUGAGUUCCCAGCUGUGGCCACUUUGUGGCUCCCCAGAGUGAGGACGAUGGAGAGGUUGCUUAGGGCCAUUCCAGCAGGGGUCUCCAGCAAUGGUUUGCUGGGCAUUCAGCAACAUGUGAGAACCCAAAGCUGUUGACAGCAAGAGACGGGGUGUCUGUGUUUGGAGAGCUGCUAUUCCAGUGGAAGGCAUGUGAUUCCCUCCUCCGCCAUGCUCCCAGGUUUUAGGGAAACAAGAUACGCAUGGCAGAGCAGUGGUAGACUGGAAGGGAGUCAGGCCUGGGCUUUGCUAGGGUUCUGCCACUUUGAAGUUAGUUAGGCUGAGUUCCAUGUCCUGGCCUAUGUUGUAAAUCAACGUAAAGAACAUCUCAUUCGUGUUGUUGAAAUUAAAUGAGAUAAUUCCA